UACAGAGGGUGCAAGCGUUAAUCGGAAUUACUGGGCGUAAAGAGCGCGUAGGCGGUCUGUUAAGUGAGAAGUGAAAUCUCCAGGGCUCAACCCGGAAACUGCUUUUCAUACUGGCAGACUUGAGGGAUGCAGAGGUGAAUGGAAUUCCUGGUGUAGCGGUGAAAUGCGUUGAUAUCAGGAGGAACACCCAUGGCGAAGGCAGUUCACUGGGCAUCAUCUGACGCUGAGGCGCGAAAGCGUGGGUAGCAAACAGG
rnacentral:rRNA from 1 species